rnacentral:rRNA from 1 species
AAGGGAAAUUUUAGAGAGAUGAUAGAUUUGGAAAAGACUAAAAAUGAACAAGUGAGAGAUGCUUUUGACCGUGGUGGAAGAAAUUGCACAAUGACAUCUGGUGACAUUCAAAAGGAGCUUGAAAUGUGUUGUGCACAUGAAUUUACCAAGAGGAUCAUGGCUGAGCUUGGUGAUAAACAAUUCUCUAUGCUUAUUGAUGAAUCACGUGAUAUAUCUGUGAAAGAGCAAAUGGCAGUGAUGUUGAGAUUUUUGAAUGACCAAGGAAAGGUUGUGGAACGAUUUAUUGCUCUGCAUCAUGUCAAAGAUACUACAUCUGAGGCACUAAAGAAUGCUCUUUAUGCAAUUCUUGAUCAUUAUAAGUUAUCUAUUUCAAGGAUACGAGGGCAAGGAUAUGAUGGUGCUUCAAAUAUGAGAGGCGAGUUUAAUGGUUUGCAGAGAAAGAUCAUAGAUGAAAACCCUUUUGCUUUCUAUGUUCAUUGCUAUGCUCAUUUUUUGCAGUUGGUGGUUGUCUUUGUUGCUAGUAGUUGCUCAUAUAUUCAUGAUUUCUACUUGAGAGUGGUGCUUGGUACAGUUGAUGAACAUGGACGUGGGCCAUCUCAAGCAGCAGGUUUGAUAGAAAAAACGGAGAGCUUUAAAUUUGCUUUCAUUCUAUAGCUUAUGUUGAAGUUGUUUGGCAUCACAAAUGAGCUCUCAAAAGUCUUGCAAAGAAAAGAUCUUAAUAUUGUGCUUUCCAUGGAAUUAGUGGAUGAUGUCAAAGCUUGACUGGCAACAUUAAGAGAGAGUGGUUGGGAUGAUUUAUUUUGUGAUGUUCAAGAACUUUGUGCUGCUAAUAGUAUUCCAGUGCCAAACAUGGAUGAAGUAAUACCAGUUCAUGGCCAUUCAAGGAGAGCGGGGAGGACUGUCACUAAUCUUCACCAUUACUGUGCAGAGAUUUUUUAUGUUGCCAUUGACAAAAUAUGCCUGGAGAUGGAUCACCUCUUUAGUGAAGGAGCUAAUGGUGUGCUUGAUUGCUUCUCAUGUCUUGACCCCAAUAAUUCUUUCUCCAAGUUUAAUGUUGAUAAGCUUGCGCGUCUUGCUGAAAUUUAUCAUGAUAAUUUUUCCAAUGAUGAUCGUGCAACAAUAAGAGAGCGACUUCUCACAUAUAUAAGUCAAGUGAAAAGGCAUGCUUCUUCUUCUACUUGUGAUGAUGUUCAAAGUUUGGCCAUGAAGAUGGUUGGAACUGAGAAACAUUUGGUAUUUCCGUCGGUAUACAAACUUAUUGAGUUGGCGUUGAUAUUGCCGGCGUCAACGGCAUCUAUUGAGAGAGCUUUUUCAGCAAUGAAGAUUAUAAAGACUAAACUGCGUAGUAAGAUCAAUAAUGAAUGGUUCAGUGACUUGAUGAUAUGCUACACCAAGCGGGAGUUAUUCAAGUCAGUUGAUGAUAAGGAUAUUAUUCGAACAUUUACUGCAAUGAGAUCUUGGAAAGGGUAUUUGCCUUGUGAUUUUCUUUAG